GCCCAGACUCCUACGGGAGGCAGCAGUGGGGAAUAUUGCACAAUGGGGGGAACCCUGAUGCAGCAAUGCCGCGUGGGUGAAGAAGCACUCCGGUGCGUAAAGCCCUGUCAGCAGGGAAGAAAAUGACAGUACCUGGACAAGAAGCCCCGGCUAACUACGUGCCAGCAGCCGCGGUAAUACGGAGGAUGCGAGCGUUAUCCGGAUUUAUUGGGUUUAAAGGGUGCGCAGGCGGAGGUGCAAGUCAGCGGUCAAAUUGCGGGGCUCAACCCCGUACUGCCGUUGAAACUGCAUCCCUUGAGUGCGCGAGAAGUAUGCGGAAUGCGUGGUGUAGCGGUGAAAUGCAUAGAUAUCACGCAGAACUCCGAUUGCGAAGGCAGCAUACCGGCGCGCAACUGACGCUCAUGCACGAAAGCGUGGGUAUCGAACAGGAUUAGAUACCCGAGUAC
rnacentral:rRNA from 1 species